rnacentral:rRNA from 1 species
ACAUGUACAUGCCUACAAUUUUGAUGCAUCAUAUUCCAUUAUAAAUCUACAAUUAAAGUCACUUGGGAUAAAGUAGUACUAGGAUGGGUGACCUCCCGGGAAGUCCUAGUGUUUUACAUGCC